UACGGAGGGUGCGAGCGUUGUCCGGAAUCAUUGGGCGUAAAGGGCGCGUAGGUGGCCCGGUCAGUCUUUGGUGAAAGCCGCGGGGCUCAACCCUGCGUCGGCCAGGGAUACUGCCGCGGCUCGAGCACUGUAGAGGCAGGCGGAAUUCCGGGUGUAGCGGUGGAAUGCGUAGAGAUCCGGAAGAACACCGGUGGCGAAGGCGGCCUGCUGGGCAGUGGGGGCAACCCCGUGGAAGCUGGACACUGAGGCGCGACAGCGUGGGGAGCAAACAGG
rnacentral:rRNA from 1 species